AUAUGUGAUGAUCUUUUUCAUAUUCACACUGUCUAAGGAUGCAGUUUAAGUACUGUAUUCCAAUGAACACAAAAACGAAAAAAAAACUGAUUUAAUGACUCUGACC